CAAACACACACGCUGUGAGCUAAUCCAUUUGAUCACCCCACUGCCAGCCUCUGCUUUGAAAAACACCGUAGAAACUCGACACUUUACAUACGCGUAGUCACACAAACAUGCAUCACGCCCCACUGAGUACCACUAGUAGGACCCCGUCAUCCACACACAAUGCAGCUGCUGCUUCAAUCAUCUCAGCAGAUCUGUUUUGCAAAGCGUCCGGCACAUUGUUGGUUGGUUUCUGACUGUGUGUUUGUGGAGCAGCUGCGUGUCUUAUGGGAGGGCUGGAGGAUUUCUAAUCACAGCCAGAUACAGCACAGCCACACCUGCCAGAACACAAAAUCACAUACACCAAACCAGCAAUUAAGAGGCUCCUUCAUCCACACAUUGCAAAAACCCCUCAUCCAGAUAGCAGCAUUUUAAUCUGUCUUUUGAUCUUUUUAUGUCUUCACAGAAAUUCCUUCAGUAGGUCCAGUCUCCGUAGGGGGGACUGUUGAAAGCACAGCAGACCUCGUCAACGGAGAGGAAACCGAGAGCUUGAGACAUACUCUUGAUUUCAGCUGGUCUGUCUGUCUCCCCCACCCCUUCACACACCAACAGUCUAUCCUCAACACUCACACCAUCCUCCUCCAUCUCCCUAGCUUGUUAUUCCAACCCCCCCCUCUGUCUCUCACACUCUUAUAGGAAAAGCUCCCUCUGUUUAUACUGGAAGUUUAUCUGCACUGUAAACAUAGUCGUUUGGACCAUCUCUCUUUGUCCUGGGCAUUUACAGAGACCAGCUUUCAGGAGGAGUCUCUCUGCAUUGAGGAGGACCCAGAAUGAUGCCUCUCCCUCUCUGUUCAUCUGCGCUCAGUUUAAAUGUAGCUUUUCCUGAACUGGAGAAUCCAAAACAGCUCCUAGGUGCUUCCCUAAUUGUGUGUUUGUUUUGGGCCACGUUUGAAUGUGUGCGCUUGGAAGUUUGUGUUUGACUGUGUGUCUUGCCCCGACUGCACAGGAUAUAGGCUUCUUUCCAUUUGCUUGUGUAUGUGUCAUGUUUGCUGUGGACGGGCCUGGGUGGUUACACUGUGUGGUCUAGCAGGCCUGUUUCGUGGCCUUAGUGAAUUUGUGUGUGAUUUAUUUUUUUGGUGGGGGACCAGUUGCUGCCAGACGUAGUCAUUAAAUGUUCCCGGGGAGUCGUUCUGUAACCAACGAUCCUCAUACCAAAUAACUGACAUUCUUUCACUACUGACUUCUCCCUUUCAUACACCCUGUAUCAGGACAGGAAUUCAUUAUGAAGAAGUAUGACAUUUUGAUCAUUAGAGGCCCACCUGCUCUAGAUCAACAUACAAUGAACACAUUGUAGGUUGGAGAGAUGUGGCUUUGGGAAGAGAGGGAGCCUUACAAAUGGUCUCUGGUGACACUGUGAAAUGUUAUUUUUUUUACUGCACUGACCAAAAACACUGUCACAUCACUGAUGUUCACAUGGUGAGCACUGCUAGACUGGCAGUGACAUUUUCUCUCUCGCUCUCUCUCUCUCGCUCUCUCUCUGUGUGUGUGUGUUGACAAACACUCCACAUGUUCUGGAAUGAAUCUUCAACCCUGUGGUUGGUGGAAACAUGUAAUGUAGGUUUUUUUUUAAACUACUGUAUUGGACUGCGUUUCCUUUAUUGUAUUGCACUAUACUGUAUUCACACUGCCGCACCUACGUACCAACGUCUGUAACUACUGUAUUUCCUCUGUUUAUUGUAUUUUCACAAGGCUUGUCUAAAACUGCAUUUUUUUUUACCAGUCAGGAAAAUAACUACUUUUUUUAUUUAUUCACUUUUCUUUUUUUUUGUACUGCUUUCUAUUAAAAUGUUCUCUCAAUCUUAAGUCUGCUUUUAUCAGUGCUGAUUAAUAUACAAUGUAUUGGGAAAGUAUUCAGACCCCUUGACUUUUUCCACCAUUUGUUACAUUACAGCCUUGUUCUAAAAGAGAUCAAAUGAGUUUUUUUCCCUUUUCAACCUAUACACAAUACCUCAUAAUGACAAAGAAAAAAUGGUUUUGAUCCAUUUUUGCAAAUG
ensembl:lncRNA